rnacentral:ncRNA from 1 species
CGCAUCCUUGUCUGGGAGAGCAUUAUACUCAAUGAUCGUCUAGUGAGAGUAUAGUUGCUGAAACCAAGAUUAUCAGUACCGCAUCACCCUCUUCCGGGUAGGUGCAAUUUUUGGAAGC